rnacentral:rRNA from 1 species
UGGGGGAUAUUGCACAAUGGGCGAAAGCCUGAUGCAGCGACGCCGCGUGGGGGAUGAAGGCCUUCGGGUUGUAAACUUCUUUUGCUCUGAACAAGGCGCACCAUGGGGUGUGUUGAGUGUAGGGGUUGAUUAGCGCCGGCUAACUACGUGCCAGCAGCCGCGGUAAUACGUAGGGCGCGAGCGUUGUCCGGAAUUAUUGUGCGUAAAGGGCUUGUAGGUGGCUGGUUGCGUCUGUCGUGAAAGCUCAUGGCUUAACUGUGGGUUUGCGGUGGGUACGGGCUGGCCUGAGUGCAGUAGGGGAGGCUGGAAUUCCUGGUGUAGCGGUGGAAUGCGCAGAUAUCAGGAGGAAUACCGGUGGCGAAGGCGGGUCUCUGGGCUGUUACUGACACUGAGGAGCGUAAGCAUGGGGAGCGAACAGG